rnacentral:lncRNA from 1 species
CUUCUCUCCCUCUAUCGCACCUAUUGCUUGAUUGAUUGGGAGAAAAUUGAGAGAAUUGAGCAUAAGGUUGUAUUAUAAUUGUCUCCUCAUGUUUUAGAUGCCUUUCUUCUGUCAAAACCAUACCAUAGAGAUCAUCAAAAUAAAAAUCAUUAGUAUGAAAAUCGAGCAUUUUAAAGAAUAAUUUAUAGGCUAGUCCAAGACAAGCAACAACAAAUUCAAUAAGUUCUUCAUCUGGAGUAUGAUGUUAUAAUGCUGCCAGUUUACCUUAAAUCCUUUUGGUACACACUACAUAGGUCUCUAUAGAGAAAUUUUCUCACUUUAAGUUAUGUAAUUAUGCAUGUAACACCUAGAUUUGAGCCUUUGAUCCAGAGGCAUAUGUGGAUACAAGUUUAUUCAACACUACUCAGGCAGUUAUUAUGCCAACCUAUUGAGGCAAGACCUUUUUAGAAAUUGAAGCGAUAACCCAGCUAAGGACAAUCUGAUCCUGUCAUUUCUAGAGUUGAAAUGCAGGAUUUAUGUACCAUCUUCAAACACUGGUGAUGGAACCAACUCAUUUUGAUCAAGAUGACAUUCUAAACUGCAACUAGUUACCACAAGCAAAAACUGCAUUUUCUAUAG